GAUGAACGCUGGCGGCGUGCCUAAUACAUGCAAGUCGAGCGAAGCGGGGACGGGGGAGUAACAUGUGGAUAACCUCCUAUAAGACGGGGAUAACUUCGGGAAACCGGAGCCAAACCGGCUACUUAUAGAUGGAGCCGCUGUGCAUUAGCUAGUUGGGAAGGUAACGGCGUACCAAGGCAACGAUGCAUAGCCGAACUGAGAGUGUGACAGGCCACACUGGAACGGAGACCCGGUCCAGACUCCUACGGGAGGCAGCAGUAGGGAAUCUUGCGCAAUUGGCGAAAGCCUGACGCAGCCACGCCGCGUGUGUGAUGAAGGUCUUCGGAUCGUAAAACUCUGUUAUUAGGGAAGCGGUACCUACUCAGAAAGCCACGGCUAACUACGUGCCAGCAGCCGCGGUAAUAC
rnacentral:rRNA from 1 species